AUUUAUGGCCAUGCUACCCUGAACAAGCCCAAUCCUGUCUGAUCUCAGAAGCUAAGCAGGGUCAGGCCUGGUCAGUACUUGGAUGAGAGACCACCUAGGAAGACCAGGUGCUGUAGGCA
rnacentral:rRNA from 1 species